rfam:Salmo salar isolate Sally breed double haploid chromosome ssa04, whole genome shotgun sequence.
ACUCACUACUACUGUAAGUCGCUCUGGAUAAGAGCAUCUGCUAAAUGACCAAAA